rfam:Trachymyrmex cornetzi contig34405, whole genome shotgun sequence.
AUAACCGCUCUUUUCAGAGCGACCAAUUAUUAUUAUUAUUCCGUCU